GUGGGCGUAGCUCAGUUGGUAGAGCCCCGGCUUGUGGUGCCGGUUGUCGCGGGUUCGAGUCCCGUCGCUCACCCCA
rnacentral:tRNA from 1 species